UUUUGUUCAUGUUUAACGCAGCUAGGUGCAAGACCACUACAGAAAUGUUACGUCCACUUUGAGUACCAUAACUCAAAGUGGAUGUAGGCUAUACAUGUUUUCCUUAACCCUGCAGGACUUGAAUCAAUCAAUGAAACAACAAACAAAAGUGUGAAGCUCCAUAAGUGAUUAUGUGUUUGCAAUUUUUCUACUGAUUUAAUAGUGACUUUAAUAGUCUGGAAAGUAUUUUAAUGAUUGUAAACAUAUUGUGCUUAUUUAGUCUAUCACAUUGAAAUAAAAUGCAGAAAUGUUAAAUAAGUAUAUUUGCCAAUUUCAGUUUAUCCUGAAGCUUCAGAGCAACCGAGAGCCGUCAACACAACAUGGCUAAAGGGUCUUCUCAUUGGAUCCGGGGUCUUAAAUGCAGUGCUCAUUUUAUUGCUGUCAGCCAUUUCAGUGCUGUGGAAGAGAGCUGCUUGCCAGAAGAACCAUGACUCUCCUCCAACCCCUGAACCACCUGAAAGGGCAGACAGUCUAGAGGUCAGUAUCUGUAGUAGGAAUAUGGAUUUAUAUACGGUAUAUGAAUUUUAUAUCAUAUUUAUCUUCAUGAUGGAUGUUUUCACUCAUCCACAUUGUUUUUCAGUAUGAAGUGAUACAGCUGGUUCAGACACCAAGAGGAUCAAGGCCCGACCGCAUAGCCUCAACCAUUUACUCCAGAGUCCAGUUUCCAAAUCAUGAACUCACAACUACUGCUUAAUAAGGUGCCACAUCUUGACUUUGGUGGAUAAUGUGAAUCUACUCUGAAUAUUCCUAUAUUUGUAUAAUGUAUUUAGUGGUGCUCUUCGUCACUAUUGUCUAUAUUCCAGUCAUCAAUAUCUUUGAAGGAACUUGUUACUUUUGUGUCUUGAUUCAUGUUUUUCAUUGUUCAUUGCUGGAAAUACAUGUUCAUUUGUGCCUGUCUUAAAAGUAAAUUGUUGCUUUUUUUGUGAAGCAGUUAGGAAGAGGUUUGUGUAUUCCUGUAGAAAAAGCCCCUAAGCUAUUUGUAGUGUAUUGAUGCUGCAUCUGUCACGCCCUGACUUGAGAGACGGUUUAUUUCUCUAUUUUGUUAGGUCAGGGUGUGGGGUGGGCAUUCUAUGUUUUGUAUUUCUUUGUGUUGGGCCGAGUAUGGUUCCUAAUCAGAGGCAGCUGUCUAUUGUUGUCUCUGAUUAGGAAUCAUACUUAGGCAGCCUUUUCCCACCUGUGUUUUGUGGGUAGUUGUUUUGUGUUUUACCUGACAGAACUGUGCGCUUUCGUUUCCUUUGUUUAAGUGUUCUGAGU
rnacentral:lncRNA from 1 species